rnacentral:rRNA from 1 species
UUGGAGGGCAAGUCUGGUGCCAGCAGCCGCGGUAAUUCCAGCUCCAAUAGCGUAUAUUAAAGUUGUUGCAGUUAAAAAGCUCGUAGUUGAAUUUCGGGAUCAAUAUUUCGGUCAUGCCGUUGGUAUGCACUGUUAUCAUUGAUUUCUCACCUUCUAAAGAACCGUAAUGCCAUUAAUUUGGUGUUACGGGGAAUUAGGACUGUUACCUUGAAAAAAUUAGAGUGUUUAAAGCAGGCUCACGCUUGAAUACAUUAGCAUGGAAUAAUGAAAUAGGACAUCCGAUUCUAUUUUGUUGGUUUCUAGGAUCGAUGUAAUGAUUAGUAGGGAUAGUUGGGGGCAUUAGUAUUCAAUUGUCAGAGGUGAAAUUCUUGGAUUUAUUGAAGACUAACUACUGCGAAAGCAUUUGCCAAGGAUGUUUUCAUUAAUCAAGAACGAAAGUUAGGGGAUCGAAGACGAUCAGAUACCGUCGUAGUCUUAACCAUAAACUGUGCCGACUAGGGAUCGGAUGAUGUUAAUUUUUUAAUGACUCAUCCGGCGCCUUACGGGAAAC